UACAGAGGGGGCAAGCGUUGUUCGGAAUUACUGGGCGUAAAGGGCGCGUAGGCGGCCUGUUAAGUCGGACGUGAAAUCCCCGGGCUCAACCCGGGAACUGCAUCCGAUACUGGCAGGCUUGAAUUCGGGAGAGGGAUGCGGAAUUCCAGGUGUAGCGGUGAAAUGCGUAGAUAUCUGGAGGAACACCGGUGGCGAAGGCGGCGAUCCUGGAC
rnacentral:rRNA from 1 species